rnacentral:rRNA from 1 species
GAUAAUGUUUUAACCUCCCCAACCCCAUGUGAACGUUACCAAACUGUUGCCUCGGCGGGAUCUCUGCCCCGGGUGCGUCGCAGCCCCGGACCAAGGCGCCCGCCGGAGGACCAACCAAAACUCUUAUUGUAUACCCCCUCGCGGGUUUUUUACUAUCUGAGCCAUCUCGGCGCCCCUCGUGGGCGUUUCGAAAAUGAAUCAAAACUUUCAACAACGGAUCUCUUGGUUCUGGCAUCGAUGAAGAACGCAGCGAAAUGCGAUAAGUAAUGUGAAUUGCAGAAUUCAGUGAAUCAUCGAAUCUUUGAACGCACAUUGCGCCCGCCAGUAUUCUGGCGGGCAUGCCUGUCCGAGCGUCAUUUCAACCCUCGAACCCCUCCGGGGGGUCGGCGUUGGGGAUCGGCCCUUUACGGGGCCGGCCCCGAAAUACAGUGGCGGUCUCGCCGCAGCCUCUCCUGCGCAGUAGUUUGCACACUCGCAUCGGGAGCGCGGCGCGUCCACAGCCGUUAAACACCCCAAACUUCUGAAAUGUUGACCUCGGAUCAGGUAGGAAUACCCGCUGAACUUAAGCAUAUCAAUAAGCGGAGGAA